AUUGAACGCUGGCGGCAUGCUUUACACAUGCAAGUCGAACGGUAACAGGCCGCAAGGUGCUGACGAGUGGCGAACGGGUGAGUAAUGCAUCGGAACGUGCCCAGUCGUGGGGGAUAACGCAGCGAAAGCAGCGCUAAUACCGCAUACGAUCUAUGGAUGAAAGCGGGGGACCGUAAGGCCUCGCGCGAUUGGAGCGGCCGAUGUCAGAUUAGGUAGUUGGUGGGGUAAAGGCUCACCAAGCCAACGAUCUGUAGCUGGACUGAGAGGACGACCAGCCACACUGGGACUGGGACACGGCCCAGACUCCUACGGGAGGCAGCAGUGGGGAAUUUUGGACAAGGGGCGCAAGCCUGAUCCAGCAAUGCCGCGUGCAGGAAGAAGGCCUUCGGGUUGUAAACUGCUUUUGUACGGAACGAAACGGUCCGGGUUAAUACCCUGGGCUAAUGACGGUACCGUAAGAAUAAGCACCGGCUAACUACGUGCCAGCAGCCGCCGUAA
rnacentral:rRNA from 1 species